rnacentral:rRNA from 1 species
GACGAACGCUGGCGGCGCGCUUAACACAUGCAAGUCGAACGGAAAGGCCUGCUUUCCCUUGUGGAUUGCGGGUACUCGAGUGGCGAACGGGUGAGUAACACGUGAGUGAUCUGCCCCCAACUUGGGUAUAAGCCUGGGAAACUGGGUCUAAUUCCCGAUAGGACUGCAGGGUGGUGCCUGUGGUGGAAAACGAUUUUCUAGUGGUUGGGGAUGAGCUCGCGGCCUAUCAGCUUGUUGGUGGGGUAAUGGCCUACCAAGGCGGCGACGGGUAGCCGGCCUGAGAGGGUGGACGGCCACAUUGGGACUGAGAUACGGCCCAGACUCCUACGGGAGGCAGCAGUGGGGAAUAUUGCACAAUGGGCGGAAGCCUGAUGCAGCGACGCCGCGUGGGGGAUGACGGCCUUCGGGUUGUAAACCCCUUUCGACCGCGAGGAAGCCACCUGGUUGGAAGGGUGGUGACGGUAGUGGUAGAAGAAGCACCGGCUAACUACGUG